UACGGGGGGGGCAAGCGUUGUUCGGAAUUACUGGGCGUAAAGGGCUCGUAGGCGGCCAACUAAGUCAUACGUGAAAUCCCUCAGCUUAACUGGGGAACUGCGUGUGAUACUGGAUGGCUUGGAUUUGGGAGAGGGAUGCGGAAUUCCAGGUGUAGCGGUGAAAUGCGUAGAUAUCUGGAGGAAUACCGGUGGCGAAGGCGGCAUCCUGGACCGACAUUGACGCUGAGGAGCGAAAGCUAGGGGAGCAAACGGG
rnacentral:rRNA from 1 species